GACGCAACGCGACCUGACGCGGCAAGCGUGAACUCACAGUCGUGCCCCGCUAUAGUUCAAACUCAGUUUGCUGUACCACACAUGUGGGUGACUAAUUAUUAAAAUCAAUAUCACUCAUUUUUGUUUUAAUUGUAAAUUGUCCACUGUUUUUUCUCUUCAAUAGAAUAAAUUUCUUGUUGAGACAAUCAAAUUAUAAGUUUGUAUUCUGUGUUCUUUUUAUUUGACAUGUCAAAUGUUACUUCCUAUAAUGAAUAUAAUGUAAGUUAAGGUGUUUGAAUAAGAACAUGUAUUUUAUUAAUAAAAAUGUAUUUAUGAAGUCCUUCUAACACCAUAAAAUAAUAAAACAAUACGAAACAACUUUUAUUACCGGAAAACCAAGAAUUGUACAUACGAGAAUAUCAAUUGUUUAACCCACGGCUGCCAGUUUGACGUAGAUCAGAUGUUUUCUUAGUUUGCCUAAUGUGUUAUUAAAAACACAUUUUUUUGAAUAUUAGUUGCAAAUUGACUGCUUCCUAAGUGUGUAUAAGUUAAAUUAUGGAGAAGUUUGUUGAUAUGGAGGCGGUGAGGAAUUCUCUUAUUCACGAAUUGUGGCUCAUUAGUCACUUUCAUUAUAAUGCACAAAUUUUGGAAAAAAAUAAUCUGAUGUUUACCUCCUACUCCAUUGGAAAAAUUCUAUAAAAGCUCGUAUCGAUUUCGUCGAUUCCACCAUUUCAAAUAUUUACUGGUUUUUUUUGGACAAUAUCGACAAGAGAAUAUCCAAAGAUUAGGUUCCAAACAACAAAAAACUGAAAAGAAAUUAGAAGAAAUAUAAACAACGACAAUUUAUAAUGCUGAAAUAAAUUAUAAUAGUUCCAUUUCCAGAAAUCUUUGAUUAAAAAAUUUCUCCCAUGAUAAAGCUUGUGACUCAAUCCGUACUUCUUCUAAUUGCUGUUAUUAUAACCUCUCUUAUUUAUUUUUUAUUAUCAUUUGGUAAAUUGAAACCUUCUGUUACAUCUGUAGUACUUUUUGAUUACAACAAAAUAUUAAUAUUUUUGUCAAAUAUUGAUAUCAAAAAGCUGAUGAAAUCAUGAUGCGGAAUGGUAUGACGAAAUUGUAGAAUCAGAACCUAACCAACAAAUUUUUUAAAACUGUUGAAUUUUCUUAUAACGGUUAUUCUUGAUGAGAAAAUGGAAUUUUUGGAAAAUGAUUGUAGAUCAGAUACUGCAUUGGAUUAUAUUGACCAAUUGAACAAAUUCAAUGACCGCAAAAACGAAAAGCGGAUAUCGUUAUCUUCAACUGUUGGCGAAGUUGAUUUAAAUUUGGUUGGAACAAAUCAAUUGACCCUAUUGGGUCUCCACUGGAAUCCCGAAUUAGAACACCAGACGCAGGAUCGAAUUUUCCCCCAUAGACAAAAGAAUUUCGGAUAUGCAAAUAAAGAACAUAUAAAUUGCUAAUAAUUCGAUGUUAACUGAUAUGUUGUAUAAGUCGAUGGAAAAGAUUGAAAUUAUUAUUUGAUAUAUAAAAUAGCUUCACUAUUAUUUAAAUUUUUUAUGUAUGUCAUUUCAUUUUGACAUGUUUUAUUGUUUAAAGUACUUUUGGAAUUGUACUUGUUUGAAUAAGGAUCUAGUUUCCAUUAUUUGUCACUAUUUUAAUUCAACCCAUCUUCAUUACUAUUUCAUAUUCACGUUCUAGUUCUGUGCUUGUGCUGUCAAUUAAACGCAAAGAAGUCUAUUCUAACCUAAAACUAUUUUAAUGAGUGCAGUCUAUGCAUCCAAUGAUCCGAGGUACAUUAUAUUUCAAAAAGAAACUCAAACAUUUCAAAUUCAUAUUCAACUGAGUUAAAUUUAUAUUUGUAAUAAAUCAAAACUAAAUAAAAAGUUUUAACUACUGAAAUUCAUCCAAAUAUAUUCUUAUUGUGUCAAAAUAAA